rnacentral:tRNA from 1 species
AGCGGCCUGCAAAGCCGUAUACG